rnacentral:lncRNA from 1 species
CAUCCUCUCGCAGGCUAUUGCAGUACGUUCCCCGACAGCCUGAGGCUGUCGCCUUUGUCUGGCCAUUGCCCCAUUCUUAACUAUUCUCCCGUGUUGUCUCGUGGAUGUGUCCAUUCAUGCAGUCUCGAUGAUGCAUGCUUAGUUGCAAGCGUUCGGGGCCUUCUGGAGCCGCCGAUCCUCACGGGUGCGGCGUCCCUUCAUGGGGAGUGAAGGCAGAAACUGUUGUCGCCUGUGUGGGAGAGUGAGGCUGCAUAGCUCCCGUUCACGCCUUGGCCUUGGAACAGGUGGUCUUCAACUUUUUGGGAAUGAUACGCGGAACUGACGGGAUUCAAAGAAGACGUACAUGCGGGCCAGAUCAAUUUCUUAGACAUCUGGAAGAAGCUCACUGCGGAGAAUCUCUGUCUCUUUGCCGCACAUCGUGUUCCGACAGCUUCCCAUCACCGACAGGAUAAACCCUACGGAGGAAUCGCCGACGCCCAACUGUUUGUUUUGGAUUGGUCUUUCUGUGAACUUCCCCAGAUUGAAACGGACAACGUAAGUGCAAACGGAGCAGGAAAUCCAAAUAGGGAAUGAGGGACCAGUGCUGCUGCCAAGAGCCUCCGCAGGCGACAGGCGACCUCGAGCGUACAAAGGCUGUUGCCUCGCGGAAUCUGGGAUUCUUCUCCGCCCGCCGUCGCUCAUCGGCCCCCGGCCCUUUUCGCCUGUCACCUUCGUCUUCAGUUUAAGCCCCAAGCUGGGAUGAAUGGCGACUGCACGCGGUCCGUUCUGAGCUCCGGUGCGGCUCAACGAAAGGGAGACGAGUUUCCCCGACAAGCCCGAAGGUGUGAGCAGGCUGUUGGACCAGGGUCGUGCUUGCCGCGUGCGGAGAGGGAACGUGGAAAACCCAUUUUUUUGAAGACUCCAGUCAGGGCUAUUGUGCGCUUCGUUUACCAAUCAUUUCCAGCUGAAAAAGCUCGUAGGUUCUACCAAAAGCAGACCGCUGUCGGGCAGUGCGGCGUGGCAGCUCGAACGACACAUCUCAUGUGGCGGCGUUUCAACGACGUUUGAGGUGUCCGCCGGAGUGUCCACGCGUUCGCAGAGGCGGCCUCAAAUGCAUGUGCAGGCAAACACAAACAUACCUUCGUGCACACAUCCAUCUGUCUCUGUGCUCUUGUACGCAUAUCGUGUUAUGGUACUUCCAUAAACUCAGUGACCGUGUGGAAUGGACGUCUAGACGUGGAAAGAAGCAAACCGCGUGUGGUGAGGCGCGAGCUGUGGUAGGUGUGAACGCGAAUAAAGAGACGUCAGUGCCGUUUUUUACCGUUUGCGUGCACCUCAGUACAGACUAUGCACUUUUGACAAGCAAGAAGGGAGCGCCCGACGCCGUGCAUCAUGCGUCCGAUUCUCGUGGGUGGUUCGGUGCA